rnacentral:rRNA from 1 species
CAGCGCCACGAGUGGCAAUCAUUUUUAUUUGGCCUAAAGCGUCCGUAGCUGGUUUAAUAAAUCUCUUGUGAAAUCGUUUCGCUUAACGAAACGGCAUGCAGGAGAGACUGUUAGGCUCGGGACCGGGAGGAGUCAGAGAUAUGCCGGGGGGAGCGGUAAAAUGCUAUAAUCCCCGGUAGAUCACCUGUGGCGAAGGCGGUCUACCAGAACACGUCCGACGGUGAGGGAUGAAAGCUGGGGGAGCAAACCGGAUUAGAUACCCGAGUAGUCC